AGAACAUAAAUAUCUUUCUUCUUCCUUUUUGUAUUUUUGUAAGAUUUAAUUUUUAAGAUUCUCUUUUUUAUGCUGUUUAAUUUGGUAUAUAAUGUUGUGUAGUCCGUGUCUUUAGUAAUUUUCUAGAUUUUAUUAUAGCGUACGGCUAGGUACAAAUUAGGGAAAUCAGUAUUCCAGUUUAGUUUUAGGUAAUUAGCGUGACGUCAUGCUCUCCGAUAUGUUCGCGCUGACCAGUUAUAGCUAGCUCCGGAACCACGUUGAGCCCUCUUUUGUCUUGACCAGUGGUCAGUGCUGACAGUAGUGCCUGUGUAAAGUUAAUUGUGUGUAGUGUAAUUUCAGCUGGGACCGCCUGUAAGU
rnacentral:sRNA from 1 species